CAUCACUACACAGUUAUCCUGCUAGAGCUGGGAGAAACAAAGGCUGCACAUUUUGUGGUGAAGAGGUUUCCAAUGGUCCAACUACUGAUAUGACAAGCCCCUAAGGAGAACAGUGAUUCACAGUCAUCUCCUUGGGUACAAACAGAUAUGAGUGGAAUUUUCACAUAAUAAUAGAAGUUUAGGAGGCCACAGAAUCGCUCUUCUUGUUCUGCUUAGUUGAGUCCUCCUUUUCUUCAAUCAAAUCCAUGAAAACUUAUGCCAACUCAAUUCCACUAUAUUUUUCAGGAUCUGCAUUGGACUCAAAUUAUCUGGUAAUUGAAAAUCUAGAGCUUCAUUUGUAGAGACAACAUGAGUUUCACAUUUAAAUGUCACAUGAGGACAGUAAAACAGAAACCCAGUGAGUUUUGCUUCUCAAUGCAUGUAAUAAAAAUGAAGCCAAAUCAAGUGUAAUCUUGAUGAUAG
rnacentral:lncRNA from 1 species